rnacentral:rRNA from 1 species
UACGGAGGGUGCAAGCGUUAUCCGGAUUUACUGGGUUUAAAGGGUGCGUAGGCGGGUCUUUAAGUCAGUGGUGAAAUCCUCCUGCUCAACGGGAGAACUGCCAUUGAUACUAUUGAUCUUGAAUUCAGUUGAGGUGGGCGGAAUGUGUCGUGUAGCGGUGAAAUGCUUAGAUAUGACACAGAACACCGAUUGCGAAGGCAGCUCGCUAAACUGAUAUUGACGCUGAGGCACGAAAGCGUGGGGAUCAAACAGG